rnacentral:lncRNA from 1 species
AGGUGGAGAAGCGACGAGGCAGGAACUCCUCCACGAGCGGGACGAGGGGAGCAGGGUGGGCUAGAGACACGGCUGCAGCACAAGCACGACGCGGGAGGAAGCGUCGGCGAGAGAGGCUGCAGCGAGAGCGUCAGGAUGGAGGAAAAAGCACGAGUUGCGCGUGCGAAAAAAAACCUAGGGCUCUAAUACCAUGUUAGGAAAGCAACUUAUCUGUAUUAAAGGCCCAAGGGGCAUAUAUAUAUUACACAUGACUUGAGGUGCAAGGAAAGUAAACAUAGACUAAUAAGGACUCCUAGAC